CUGUGAAAAGUUGACCUAAACACAUAUAUAAAUAUAAUUCCCACAAAAGUCUCGAAAAGGGGCAGAAAUUUGGAGAUAAAAAAAGGGCAGAUUGAAGGAUGGAAAGAGGUAGAAGUCGCCCAGCUGCUGGGAUUAUAUUGGUCGGUUGCAAGAGUUGAUUUUUAAGAGAUAAUUCCCACAGAAUUCAGCAGAUUGGAGGCUAGGAAUUAAAUGCCAACAACGGCGGCUCAAUUGGAGUAAUUGAGGAAUGGAACCAGCUGCUGGGAGGUGAAACCAAAACCAGUAAUUGGAUUUGCAACAUACACGUGACUGUAGAUGAAGAUUAAGUGGGAAUCAUUCAUGUUUGGUCGAUUUUUGGUGAUAUUUUUCCACUUUAUUUUUUUAAUUUUAACAUUAUGUUCGGCUAGAUUAUUUUGUACUAGGAUUUGCAAUGAACCUUAUAUUAUGAACCUUUAAUCUUGAGUUUUAUUUAUUUUGACGUUAAAACACGUUUUUAAUUAUUAAAUGAUUG
rnacentral:lncRNA from 1 species